rnacentral:rRNA from 1 species
CGGUGGAUGAUGUGGAUUAAUUCGAUGCAACGACGAAAACCUUACCUACCCUUGACAUGUCCGGAAUCCUGCAGAGAUGCGGGAGUGACCGAAAGGGAAUCGGAACACAGGUGCUGCAUGGCUGUCGUCAGCUCGUGUCGUGAGAUGUUGGGUUAAGUCCCGCAACGAGCGCAACCCUUAUCAUUAGUUGCUACGCAAGGGCACUCUAAUGAGACUGCCGGUGACAAACCGGAGGAAGGUGGGGAUGACGUCAAGUCCUCAUGGCCCUUAUGGGUAGGGCUUCACACGUCAUACAAUGGUCGGUACAGAGGGUUGCCAAGCCGCGAGGUGGAGCCAAUCCCAGAAAGCCGAUCGUAGUCCGGAUUGUUCUCUGCAACUCGAGAGCAUGAAGUCGGAAUCGCUAGUAAUCGCGGAUCAGCAUGUCGCGGUGAAUACGUUCCCGGGUCUU